UACGUAGGCAGCAAGCGUUGUUCGGAGUUACUGGGCGUAAAGGGUGUGUAGGCGGUUUCUUAAGUUUGGUGUGAAAUCUCCCGGCUCAACCGGGAGGGUGCGCCGAAUACUGAGAGGCUAGAGUGCGGGAGAGGAGAGUGGAAUUCCUGGUGUAGCGGUGAAAUGCGUAGAUAUCAGGAGGAACACCGGUGGUGUAAACGGCUCUCUGGACCGUAACUGACGCUGAAACACGAAAGCGUGGGUAG
rnacentral:rRNA from 1 species